CUAUACAUGCAGUCGAGCGAAUCUUUAGGAGCUUGCUCCUGAAGGUUAGCGGCGGACGGGUGAGUAACACGUGGGCAACCUGCCUGUAAGACUGGGAUAACUUCGGGAAACCGGAGCUAAUACCGGAUAAUCCUUUUCUUCUCAUGAAGGAAAGCUGAAAGAUGGCGCAAGCUAUCACUUACAGAUGGGCCCGCGGCGCAUUAGCUAGUUGGUGAGGUAAUGGCUCACCAAGGCGACGAUGCGUAGCCGACCUGAGAGGGUGAUCGGCCACACUGGGACUGAGACACGGCCCAGACUCCUACGGGAGGCAGCAGUAGGGAAUCUUCCGCAAUGGACGAAAGUCUGACGGAGCAACGCCGCGUGAACGAUGAAGGCCUUCGGGUCGUAAAGUUCUGUUGUUAGGGAAGAACAAGUAUCGGAGUAACUGCCGGUACCUUGACGGUACCUAACCAGAAAGCCACGGCUAACUACGUGCCAGCAGCCGCGGUAAUACGUAGGUGGCAAGCGUUGUCCGGAAUUAUUGGGCGUAAAGCGCGCGCAGGCGGUCCUUUAAGUCUGAUGUGAAAGCCCACGGCUCAACCGUGGAGGGUCAUUGGAAACUGGGGGACUUGAGUACAGAAGAGGAAAGCGGAAUUCCACGUGUAGCGGUGAAAUGCGUAGAGAUGUGGAGGAACACCAGUGGCGAAGGCGGCUUUCUGGUCUGUAACUGACGCUGA
rnacentral:rRNA from 2 species